rnacentral:rRNA from 1 species
UACGUAGGGUCCAAGCGUUAUCCGGAAUCACUGGGCGUAAAGCGUGCGUAGGUGGCGCGUUAAGUGAGAUGUUAAAUCGUGUGGCUCAACCAUAUCGAUGCAUCUCAUACUGGCGUGCUAGAGGACGGCAGAGGCAAGUGGAAUUAGCAGUGUAGCAGUGAAAUGCGUAGAUAUUGCUAGGAACACCAAUGGCGAAGGCAGCUUGCUGGGCCACUCCUGACACUGAGGUACGAAAGCGUGGGGAGCGAACAGG